CUCCUGCCGGAGGUGAGCCCUGUCAACCGACAGCCUGAUAUUUGGCGUCCGCAGAGUGAUAGUGCCUAGCCUCUGAAUCACUGCGUCGAUGGUCCGACGAGCAUUUCGGUAGAACUUGGACUGACUGAUGUCGGCAUUUAGGUGAAGCGUGAAGCGUUGCUCAGUCUGCCGCUUCCAUGCCAACAGGGCUUGCUCUGCCUUCCUCGCUCGAAUAGAGACGGGAAUUUCCAGAGCCAAGCCUUGCAUAAACGUGCGAAGGAAUCGCUUCUGUUGGGCGAUAUCCUUGAUGUUGAAACGAACAUUGCUCAGCGUGACUGGAGUGUUUGCCAGUCGCUCACUGAGCUUCUUGACCAUCGUUCCCAGGGUGUCCUGGGCGAUGUCCACAUUCUUGAGACGAAUCUGGGCAUUGGUAGCCAUUUUGAUCUUGGCUGCCAGGCUUCGACCAUCAAGGUCAACCCUCAUCGUCACUUUCUUGUUGGCCAGGCCAGCCACUUCGUUGAGGCGGUCUCUGACCUGUUCCAGGUUCUUCUUGAACGUCAGCAGGGGGCGGUUAUCCGCCCUCCACUGGAUCGUCCCGACGAGCUUUGUAAUCUCUUCAGUUGCCAUCUUGUUGCCUCAGCUUGGCGAUUUCUCGGGCGAUGUCUGCGGCUU
rnacentral:antisense_RNA from 1 species